rnacentral:rRNA from 1 species
GAUCCUGGCUCAGGACGAACGCUGGCGGCGUGCCUAACACAUGCAAGUCGAACGGAGUUGAAAGGAGCUUGCUUUUUUCAACUCAGUGGCGGACGGGUGAGUAACGCGUGAGUAACCUGCCUUUCAGAGGGGGAUAACGUUCUGAAAAGAACGCUAAUACCGCAUAAGAUUGUAGCUUCGCAUGGAGCAGCAAUCAAAGGAGCAAUCCGCUGAAAGAUGGACUCGCGUCCGAUUAGAUAGG